GAUGAACGCUGGCGGCGUGCUUAACACAUGCCAGUCGAACGGAAAGGCUCCUGCUUGCAGGGGUACUCGAGUGGCGAACGGGUGAGUAACACGUGGGUGAUCUGCCCUGCACUUCGGGAUAAGCCUGGGAAACUGGGUCUAAUACCGGAUAGGACGAUGGUUUGGAUGCCAUUGUGGAAAGUUUUUCGGUGUGGGAUGAGCUCGCGGCCUAUCAGCUUGUUGGUGGGGUAAUGGCCUACCAAGGCGUCGACGGGUAGCCGGCCUGGGAGGGUGUACGGCCACAUUGGGACUGAGAUACGGCCCAGACUCCUACGGGAGGCAGCAGUGGGGAAUAUUGCACAAUGGGCGCAAGCCUGAUGCAGCGACGCCGCGUGGGGGAUGACGGCCUUCGGGUUGUAAACUCCUUUCGCUAGGGACGAAGCGCAAGUGACGGUACCUGGAGAAGAAGCACCGGCUAACUACGUG
rnacentral:rRNA from 1 species